CGUCUUUUGAUUAUGAUUUAAGAUUUGGUCUGCCCACUGAAAAUUUAAAGGGCCGCGGUAUUUUGACCGUGCAAAGGUAGCAUAAUAAUUAGUUUUUUGAUUGAAAGCUGGAAUGAAUGGUUGGACGAGGAAAUUACUGUCUCUAGUUUAUUUAUAUAUAAUUUUAUUUUUUAGUUAAAAAGCUUAAAUGAUUUUAAAAGACGAGAAGACCCUAUAGAGUUUUAUAUUUUAAUAGAAAUUUUUUGUCUUAAGGAUCAAGGUUGAAAUUUCUAGGAAGUAUUUUAUUGGGGCGAUGGAAAGAUUUAAUUAACUCUUUUUUUUAUUUUACAUUAAUAUUUGAAUUUUUGAUCCAUUUUUUAUGAUUAUAAGAAUAAAUUACCUUAGGGAUAACAGCGUAAUCUUUUUUGAGAGUUCUUAUCGAAAGGGGGGGUUGCGACCUCGAUGUUGGAUUAAAGUUAAUGUUUGGUGGAGGAGCUAAAUUAUUGAGUCUGUUCGACUUUUAAAACUUUACAUGAUCUGAGUUUAGACCGGUGUGAGCCAGGUUGGUUUCUAUCUUUAUUUAUUUAAAAUAUUUUAGUACGAAAGGACCAAAUGUUUAAUAGAUUUAUUUUUUAAUUGAAUUAUAUUAAUGUUAUUUUGGCAGAUUAGUGCAAUGGAUUUAGAAUCUUUUUAUAUGAAGAAUUUCAUAAGUAAUAUUUGUUUAUAUUUGAUUAUAUUUUGUUAUUUAUUAAUAUAUUAAUUUUGAUUGUUUGUGUUUUGAUUGGAGUAGCAUUUUUUACUUUGUUAGAGCGUAAGGUCUUAGGAUAUAUUCAAUUCGAAAGGG
rnacentral:rRNA from 1 species